rnacentral:rRNA from 1 species
CUACGGGUGGCUCCAGUGGGGAAUAUUGCACAAUGGGCGCAAGCCUGAUGCAGCCAUGCCGCGUGUAUGAAGAAGGCCUUCGGGUUGUAAAGUACUUUCAGCGGGGAGGAAGGGAGUAAAGUUAAUACCUUUGCUCAUUGACGUUACCCGCAGAAGAAGCACCGGCUAAGUCCGUGCCAGCAGGCCGCGGUAAUACGGAGGGUGCAAGCGUUAAUCGGAAUUACUGGGCGUAAAGCGCACGCAGGCGGUUUGUUAAGUCAGAUGUGAAAUCCCCGGGCUCAACCUGGGAACUGCAGCUGAUACUGGCGAGCUUGAGUCUCGUAGAGGGGGGUAGAAUUCCAGGUGUAGCGGCGAAAUGCGUAGAGAUCUGGAGGAAUACCGGUGGCGAAGGCGGCCCCCUGGACGAAGACUGACGCUCAGGUGCGAAAGCGUGGGGAGCAAACAGGAUUAGAUACCCCUGUAGUC